GAAUAAAAAUUAUAAUGUAAUUAAAUAUUAGUUAUAUGUUAAUUAAAAUAAUAAUAAAUUUUAUAGAAAUUUUAGUAUUUAUAAGGAAAAAAAAUUAUUUAUUUAUAGAAAAUUAGUAAAGUGAUUGAAUUUAAAAUUUUUAUUAAAAAUUAAAUUUUUAAAAGUAAAUUUAAUUUAUUGUAUCUUGUGUAUCAGAGUUUAAAAAAAAAGUAAAAUAAGAAGUUGAAUUUCUCGAAAAAAAUAAAGAGAUAAAAGUUAAAUUUUUGUUAAUGUAAAAAAAUUAUAAAAAAUUAAUUUUUAGAAAUAAAAAGUUAUUCGGUUUUUUUUAUAUCUAGUUUUUAAAGAAAUAAAUUUAAUUUAAUUUUUAUUUUAUAUAUUAUGAAUUAAAUUUCAAUUAAAAAUUAAUAUUUUAGUUUUAUUUGUUUAAAUUAUUAAUUAAAUAUUAUUAAUUAUUUUUAUGUAAAUAAAAUUAAGUAAAUAUAGGGUUAAGCUUAUAUUUAAAAUUUUUUAAAUUUUAGAUUGAUUAAGAAAAAUAAAAUUAUAAAAUUAAAAUUUUUUUUUAAUUUAAAGUUUUUAAUAUAAUAUUUAUUUAGAUUUAAAAAGAUAAUAUUUAAAAUUUGAUGAAAUUAAGAAUUUAUUUAAAAAAUGAUAAUAAUUUUUUUUAUAAAGAUUUAAUGUUAAAAUUAGUAUAAAUUAUGAUGAAAAUUCAAUUAAAUUUAAAAUAAUUUAAAUUAAUUUAAAUUAAUGAAUUAGGCAAAAUUAAAUUAUUAUAAUAGUAUAAAUUUAGUUAUUUCACUUGUUUAACAAAAACAUGUCUUUUAGAAGUAAAUUUAAAGUCUAAUCUGCCCACUGAAAAUUAAGUUUUAAAGGGCUGCAGAAUUUUAACUGUACAAAGGUAGCAUAAUAAAUUGUUUUUUAAUUGAAAACUAGAAUGAAAGAUUUAAUGAAAAUAAUUCUGUAUAAAUUUAAUUAAUAGAAUUUAUUUUUUUUGUUAAAAAUCAAAAAUAAAUUAAAAAGACGAGAAGACCCUUUAGAUUUUAAUUAUUUUAAAAAUUUGAUUUAUAUAUAUAUAAUUUUUGAUUUUUAACAUAAUUUGAUUGGGGUGAUUAAUAAAUUUAAUUAACUUUAUUUUAAAAUAUUAUAAAAUUUAAAUUAAAAAAUUUAAAAUUAAAAAUUGAUUUAGUUUUAUGGAUUAAAGGAUUAAAUUACCUAAGGGAUAACAGCGUUAUUUAAAUUUUUAGUUCUUAUAGAAAUUUGAGAUUGCGACCUCGAUGUUGGAUUAAGAUUAUUUAAAAUUGAAGAAAGUUUAUAUUUUAGUCUGUUCGACUAUUAAAAUCUUACAUGAUCUGAGUUCAAACCGGUGUGAGCCAGGUUGGUUUCUAUCUUUUAAAAUUAGAGGAAAAGAUAUUUUAGUACGAAAGGAUUAAAUAUUUAAAAUAAUAAAUUUUUGGUAAAAAAUAAGAAAUUUAAUAAAAUAUAGAAAAAAAAAU
rnacentral:rRNA from 1 species